rnacentral:sRNA from 1 species
UUUUGGUUUUCUGUUU